AAACCACAGCACUAUGCCAGCUACUAGGAAGAAGAUUAACUCUAUCUCAGCCAAAACCAGGACAAGCUGUAAACCCAUUGUCACACUGGCAUAUGCAAUAUACUACCCCUGAGAAACUGUCCUGAACGAGAAAGUGCUCCCCUGAGUGGGAAAAAACAAGAAAGGAUUCAUGACUUAGUCCAACGUGACCAUAAAGCAGGUACAUUAAAGAGGGCAACAUGAUCCAAAAACACCACAGUAAACCAGGAGACAGUCUAAUCCCAGUUUUGCUAUUGCCCUACUAUAUGUGACAGUCAGGUUUCAAUUUUCCCACCAGUAAAAUGACAAUAAUGUGACUUGCUUUUUUUUUUUUGCUUUUUUUUUUUCUGAAGAACUUAGUAAUUCAUAGCUGAAAAAUGAAAAGCAAAGAAAAGCAGUAAGAUCAAGGAGCAAUGAGAAAAGAUGCAACAGUGAUCCAAUAAGACUGUCACACUGCUGCAGAAGACAAUAUCAUAUCACAACCCAAUACCAUAAAAGUGGGGGAAAGAAUAUCAUGGGUUUUUAGUAUUAUUUUGCUGAAAAUGAAGGGUAUUUUAAUGAAUGAGAAAACGGGCUGAUUAUAGCAUAACAUGCAUGUACACCAGUUGCUCUCUAAAUACCUCACAUCUGUUGCAUUCAUGAGUCCGUAUGGGAAGUCCACAACUUGAGGAACUGGACAGAUUGUUCUCAUAUACAAAUCUUAAGAGGAAGGUUACCCUAAGCACUUCUUGUAACUGGCUCCCACUGUACUUACUGUACUCAGGAAUUCAAUAUUUUGAAGUCAUCAGCAAAGGAAGUUAAUACAUCUCAGUGCCUUAUCUGAAUUUCUCCCUGUAUUUGAAACCUAACCAGACUGUCUUUAGAUUUAUUUUUUUUUGACCCAGCUUUAUUUUCAACACUUUUAUCUCAGAAAUACUUAGAGAUCCCUAAAAGCCAGGAGUAUAUUCUUAAAUCUCUUUUAUAUCUGCCACAGACCUUCCUUCUCCCAACAGAUAUUCCAAUGUCCAACACACUAAUUUCCAUACUUGAAAUAUACAUCCAGGGAGACAUUUGACAGGAAUUUCCAACUCCAAUUAUUUCAUAGUAGCAGAAAAUUGGAUCUCUGAAAGAUAUAAUUUGAUGUGGCGAGUGGGGGGAAGAGGGGAGAUGAGGAUUGAUUUACAGUACUGUGGGAAGUGCCAGUGGCAUUCUUUAUUGUCACAGUGCUGUCAAACUGAGUAAAAUGCACUGCAAGUCAAAGGGAAAUAACAGUUGUGUAUUUAGACGACACAUUCACAGACUUUUGGUAGCUUAAAUUUGGCAGGUGGCAGUUAGAGUGAAACCUCGUGUUAGAGCCAAAUGGGCUUUUUAUAUUGCAUCUGUCCGAGACAGAGCGAGAUCUCUACAUGCCACAGUUCUCCUAAACUGUGAUCCACUCUCCAACACAACUUAAGAAGUAGCCGAUGCCUUUCAGCACUUAGGGAUUUUCUGAAAAACGCAUUUUCAUAUGUAUGUUAUGAGCAUAUGUGAAAACUUCAAGCAAAUGGACCAGAUGCUGAUUUCAUUUACACUGAAUUAAAUCUGGAAAGGCUUCAGUGCUUUUACACUUCAUUUUCCACAGUGCAACCACAGCAGACUUCUGACUACUGUCUGUUUCUCCUAAAAGGAAACUUUUUAGGGUAAAUGUCAUUGCUCUGGACACAUUUAGUACCUCAGGCUGAAGGCAAAUCCUACCUCUGAAACAGUCAAAGUCCAAUAUGAGCAAAUGUUUUCAGAGAGCAGGAUACUAGCAGUUCUCUAUACCUAAACAUAUGGGUAAAAUAUAAAAAUGACAGCGGAUGUUUAUGGAAACAUAAUUUAUGGCAACAAUGCAAAAGGAAAUAACAGAGACGCUCUCUUCCACCUAGGAUUGCUGUCAUUCUGGUUACAUGCUACUUUCUUCACGUCUUGCCCCUGUCUGUUGUUUUGUGUCUGUAAACACCGUUUAAAAGCUUCCGCCUUGUCUACACAGGUGCCUAAAUUUAUGUCUAUCAGACUCUUUUAUGGACUCCAAAAGGUUUUCUGAGGUUCAAAACAAGAGUUACAUAGCUCAACGAUAAGAGUCCUCCAAGGGCUAGCAAGCACAAAGUUACCACCUCUGCCUCUGGAAGUCCCCAACCUGAAGCAUUGCUAUCACUGCUUCUUACACUGUUCCUUCAGUACCCACUGUUGACCAUGGUUGAGGACAGGACUUUAUGGAUACCCAAUAGAACCAGUCUCGUUGUACUGUAAAUUAUAGAUAAGAUGGUUUCUAUUUCUAUUAAUUUGGGGAGGAAGUGAGAUACUCUAAAAAAGGUGGAAAUGAGUAUCCUAUGAACUGCAACACCCAGAAAAUUUCCCUUUGUUUCAAAAGCAGGGCCAUUAGCAUGCAUUUAUGCCUGGGAACUAAUUCCCCAUGUGAGGAGGGUCAAACCCUGCCCCUGUCAAAUCUCAGUCUCACCUCACUUCUUUUCUCAGAACUUUUUCUAUUCACAGAGACUGAGAACAAACCAACGUGAUCCCCCAAGGACUCAUGAUCAUCCUCCUCCAGUUCCACUGGGUUUUUUCUAGACUUUCCUAGUCCUCAUGCCCCCACUUCCAGAACUUUAGAUAUCUCUAGUGGUUUCCAUGUGACUCUUUGGCCUUUGCUGAUUUCUCCUGACAAGGCUUUUUUCUUCUGACAGGUCAAGAGAAUUUCAUCCUCAGACAGUCUACAGCUUUCGUUAACAGGCAGAAAGCUAAAUCCCUUUGACAUAUAGGAGAAGCGACACAUAUUUGGUUAGGAAGGAACAAUCUUGGCAUUACUGUGUUUCAAGGUUGCAACAAACAUCUCAGACUGUGUGUGUAUUCCUGAGGCUCUUGUCUGAUGGCAAGAACCAAAGCCUCCCUUCAGUGUUGGCUGAAUUCUGACUGGGUUCAUUCCUGAUUGAGACAAUGCUUAUAUGGACUGACAGCAGUUUUCCCAGUGCAAUGAAGGUAAAAUCUGGCUUCUAUAUCUUGAGGGUCCUGUUUUACAUAAAUAUGCAUAUGUAUUUGUAUAUAUGAUCCCCUUCCUGCAGAGACAGGUGGGACACGCUGCAAAUAUUGUCCAGUGACAAUACUGCUGACAUGUAACUCCACUGGGACUGUUGGUAAGCACUGGAGUUACAGAAAGGUGCAGAAUUUCUUUGCAGCUAUUUCAUAAGCAUUUUCCCAGCUAAAAUAUAUAUAUAUAUUACUGUGAAAUACAGAUAAAAACCAGUAUGAGAGAGCAUUAAAGGAUAAGUCACAAGACAGCUGCACCUGGUAAUGCCAAAAAAAUAGCAGCAACAAACUAAAGAUGCUCCAAGCAACAAUAAUUUGUGACCCUGUGCCAAUACACACCGGGGCAGAAGAAAACAACUUGUUCCAAAGCUGCUAUUGGGGAUCUGACAUGUUUAUCUAUUUGGCCCACAUGUGGCUGUGUCUUCUAGCACUGACAGCUCCUGCAGGUUGGCAGCUUUUCAAAAGCUUGUCAGCCCUUGAUAGCAUUCCUAUUCCUGCAGAGAUGGGCGGGUCGCACUGCGGAUUACACAGCGAUAAUGGUGCUGACAUAUAACCCCGCUUGCACUGCUAGCGAGCACAGGACUUACAGAAAGGUGCACAGUUUCUUUGCAGCUAUUUCAUAAGUGUUUACCCAGCUGACAACAUUUUGUAUUUGGUAUUUAUUUAGUUUAAGGAGUAAAAUAACAAAGGCCUUAGGCAAACUCACAAAGUAAUCUUUCCAGCAGAAUCACAGAGCUUAGGAUUCCUAUAGAUUUUGUUCUCCAGCUUUCCAACCUCUCAUGCUAUUAAACAUGUAUGUUUGUUUUACACUGCACUUCUACUGGUUAUGGCAUAGCUGUCUUCAGAUUUAUUGUCCACAUUUGCAAAGCCCUGAUAAAUGUAGGCUGCUGCUCUUUUCUGCUUUCUUUUGCUGAACAUCUUUAUUUUACUCAUAAGAAGGAACCGCAAAUCCUCCAGUUUAUAAAUAGCUUGCAACACUUGUCAAGGCAUCUGAGGAUCUUUCAAGAACAGACUAUGACACUUGAUAAUGUUACUCCUGCAACAGGAGAUGGAGGCUUCUAUUCAGGACAAGUUCACAGAAAUUAUAUCCCUGCUACAGAAAGAUGAUUAUCGUUUGGUUUGCAAGCACUGGCAACUGGAUGGAAUUUUUCAAGCUGUCAGCUAAGGAAGUUUUCAACCAAUUACACAAUAAAUUGAAUAAAAACUACAAUGAUUUAAGAAACUGGAAGUCCAGAAGAACUAUUGAUUUUCUUCAUCAGGAAAAAUAUACCAGGAAAUAAAGCCAUAACUUAAUAUAUAAGACUUUUAUUCCUGAGGAGUACAAAGGACACACUUCAGACCCUUGUAGUCCCGACAUGUGUGGUUUCCUCGCACCGGGAAAGCCUGGAAGCGAGCCGCCUGGCCCGGCGCCAAUCCAAACCACGGUCAGUCUAAACACAGCGCCGGCAAACGCUACUUUCUGACACUUCGCUGCUACUGGAGAGUAUCCUUUAGCAUUGAAACCUCAUCAGUGACAGAGAUUUAUACACAACCUCUCAUGCAGCUUCCUUCAUCUCAUCUCUUCCCUCCCCAAACAUGUUUCUAUCAGCCCCACACAGAGGAACCAAAGAGAAAUGCUUGUGUGAUAUCAUCUCAUGUUACCUGGGCAUUUACCUAAGAGGAUAAGUCUAUAAAGUUGCUGAAUGCCCACGGAGAUCUUGGAAAUCGGCACACCAGGAUGAAGAACUUUUCCAUCAGUUUUAGCUAUUUAAAUAUACUUUUCCUUGCUGUUUUGUCUGCAAAGUUAAAGAUUACCUGAAUGGUUAAACUAAGAAGUAUUUGGACCAGCGGGCGAUCAUUUCUUCAGUCUAGAUAUGCAAGUGGUUAUGAAUUUUAUUCCCUUCUUUCAGGUUACCACAGAUACAUAGCCUUACAUUCUCUAUUCAACUCACCAAAUGCAAGUUUUCAGUCCAAUAUAAAGUGAGUCUUUGCUCUACAAUAUCUCUAUUAAAGGGCACUGUCUGAUUGCACACUAAUUCUCCUAGCACAGUCUGUGUUCUGCUUUCCUUGGAAAGCACAACAUCCAUAACGAUCAGUGGUGGUUUGGCUAAAGGGAAAAUGUUACCAGCUUGGAUGGAGGGAAGGAUCACACAGGGUGCUACCGCCUCCAGAAAGCUCUGAACUACUCAAGCCCCACUGAACAUAAUGGGAGGCGACAGCGCUCAGCAUCUCUCAGGAGGUAAGCAGCAUCCCACAAAACCAGAAAUCUGCUUUUCACACAAACAAAAUUUGUUUUCUACGGAAAGCCUAUGCCAGAAACCAACCUGUAGUCUGAAAACCUGCAACAUGAAUAAUGAUGUUACUAAUGCAAUAUCCUGAGGAGGUGCUAGGGUUUGAGUAAACCACUGAGAUGGCAGAGGCAAGUUAAGUGUUUGAUAAAGCAUCCCAGGGAAGAAGUUUCCUGAAAUGCUCAGAAUCUGAAUUUUAAAGAAACUGUCAUACAGAGCACUGAAGAAGUCGAAAUAAGAUAUUCGGCCUGGUAAUGUAUCUCUUCCAUACAACGACAGCAAGUGUUGCGCUCAAACAUGUGGAGCUAAAUAGUCUCCCGUUACACCUGCUAAGCCCCUGCGCUGCAGUUGUAUUAAUUCAGGGUCAGUUACCUCUUCCGAGCUGACAGCAGAACACAGUAAUUUAAAACCUCCUUCUGGUGCUUAAAGAAAAUAUCAAACACAGCUGAGAAUUUAAAUUUUCUUCAGUCAGUAGCAUAUCUAGAACAAACAGGAAAGCAGUUUUCACGUGUGUUCCUGUGCAAGCAUCUGGUUUUCACAUGUAGCAGUCAAUUGUGCUUGCAAGUUCAUCGUGUCUGCUAGAAAUAGUGAAGACUAAAUUGCCAGCUUAUUAUCUGGAGUUAACAUAUUGUCACAGGAUGUGGGCAAGGGAGUAUAGUUGGUCCCAGUGAAAGCUCCUCCUAUCACCAGUAAUUCUAGAUACCAAUACAAAUGUUAAUAUUCAAAAAUUGCCACUAACACUCUUACGAGAAUUUAAACCAUCCAAAUUGCCUCUGCCCUGUUUAAUAUCACAAUAAAGUAAUCCCAGUUAUGCCGGGAGGCAAGGAAAGAGCUGUCUUCAGUUAUCUCGACAGGACUAGGGGCAAUGGGUGCAAACUGAAACAUAAGAGGUUUCAGCUGAAUAUGAGGAAAAAC